UACGGGGGGGGCAAGCGUUGUUCGGAAUUACUGGGCGUAAAGGGCUUGUAGGUGGCCAACUAAGUCAGACGUGAAAUCCCCGAGCUCAACUCGGGAACUGCGUCCGAUACUGGCGGGCUUGAAUCCGGGAGAGGGAUGCGGAAUUCCAGGUGUAGCGGUGAAAUGCGUAGAUAUCUGGAGGAACACCGGUGGCGAAGGCGGCAUCCUGGACCGGCAUUGACGCUGAGGCGCGAAAGCUAGGGGAGCAAACGGG
rnacentral:rRNA from 1 species